UAAAUAUUCUCUUUAAUUUUUUUUUUCUUGUCUUUUGGUUGCUUUUAUGAAUGAGCAUCUUGAUUAGGAUCAAUAAAAAAAAGGGGUCUCAACAGUUAGAAAGAAUUUCUUUCUACAAAAUUAAAGGUUGUUUAUGAUUGACCCUUUGAGUUAUAGAACACAAAGUUUUCACCUAUUAACUUGGUAGGUCACUAACAUGGUCCAACCAGCAAUGGCCCAAAAAGAGGGUGCCUUUGAAUGUUUCCCUUUGGUAUGAAAAAGUAAAAUAAAUUUAUAACAUUUUUAGUAAGAUCUGUUUUUGGGUUAUGUCAUAUAUCAAUCUGGAGAUUUAUUUUUAAAAAUCAUUCUUUUGGUGUUUGAGAAUUCAAUUGGGAUUCGGGAAUAGUAAUUAGUAUAGCUUCUAUAUUGGUUCCACCUAAGCACACUUAAAGUUUGCUCCCAUGUGGUGAUGGUGAACAUAUAGGCUGAACUGAAAUCACAUAAAAGAAAAUAUGAAAUUCCGGUUUGAAAUAAUUUGACCAAAGUUGGAAAGAUGAAAUUUUUUUAAAGAAUUCAUACGGUUUUCUUGGGGGUGGGGGGGCAAUUUGGCAUAGCAUUUACUAGGGAAUUAGUAAGUAAAUGAUAUCUUCUACUGAAGUGCCCAUGGUUGUAUUAUCAUAGAAAGCAAGAAACAGACUCAGGCUAAUGAAAAUAGUAGUGUAGAACCCAAUGAGCAUGCUUCAUUGGAUUACCAUUCCAUUUUUAAAUAUAUAACUUUGGUAUGUCUUUUAUCUUCUUUUUGGCUUUAUUUACCUUCAGGAACCAAAGGCCCUACUAGAGAAUGAGGCUCUAAGCAAAUAGAUUGUCCACAGAUGUUUGUCGCAAGAGAAAAUCACAUAAGAUCGAUCACACAUGCAAUGACUCAGGGAGUCAAAUGGCUCUGGAGUGAUAUAUUUGUUAAGAAGUUAUUGUCUUGUAGUUAGAAGCUUUAUCUCGUUAGUUUCAACUAUAAAAUAGUUAAUUUUCUUCUUUUGACAAAUAGGGGUAGAUGUCCUAAACUAAGCUGAGGUGUUUUUGGAUUUCUGUAAAUGCUAAGGCUAAUAAGGCAUUUCAACAAAAUUUUCAGUUCAUUUGAUUCGCUAGGGUAGUAAUGCAAAACACAAAUUACCUUGAAAUAAUGUGGAGAACUGAAAGAUUAAUAAAAAAGAAAAAGAAAUUGCCUUGAAUUUUGAUAUGAAAAA